GACAGAGGUGGCAAGCGUUGUUCGGAUUUACUGGGCGUAAAGAGUUCGUAGGCUGUCGUAUGUGUCAGAUGUGAAAUCCCAGGGCUUAACCCUGGAAUUGCAUUUGAAACUGUACGACUUGAGGACAGGAGGGGGAAGUGGAAUUCCCGGUGUAGCGGUGAAAUGCGUAGAUAUCGGGAAGAACACCGGUGGCGAAGGCGGCUUCCUGGACUGUCCCUGACGCUGAGGAACGAAAGCGUGGGUAGCAAAC
rnacentral:rRNA from 1 species